rnacentral:lncRNA from 1 species
CAAGUGUCAGCUUCACACUCCUGCCGUUUCCCUCACAUUCAGUCACAGACUCAGGCUUGCUUAAUUCUUCACUGUGCCCAACAAACAACUGCAGUUCCACAGGUCCUGGGAUAACUCAGCCUCCCUAUAGCGGGAUUCUCCUGAUCCUGCAAACCUUCGUUAUAUCAGAAACAAAAGGAGGAGCGGGCUGAAAAGGACCAGUAUGAAGUAGACUGGCUGGGAACUUGAAACAGACACAAUCCUGGCUGCAGGCGCAAUUCUUCCUUCUCCUGAUGCCCUGGACAUCACAGAGUUACAGAGGAACCCA